rnacentral:rRNA from 1 species
GACGAACCGUGCGAACGUUGUUCGGAAUCACUGGGCUUAAAGGGCUCGUAGGCGGCCAACUAAGUCAGACGUGAAAUCCCCUCGGCUUAACCGGGGAACUGCGUCUGAUACUGGAUGGCUUGAGUUUGGGAGAGGGAUGCGGAAUUCCAGGUGUAGCGGUGAAAUGCGUAGAUAUCUGGAGGAACACCGGUGGCGAAGGCGGCAUCCUGGACCAACACUGACGCUGAGGAGCGAAAAGCCAGGGGGAGCAAACGGG